AGAAAGCUUUACUGUUAAAGAAUUGUUGAUCUUAGUGAAGCUUCCCUUUCUCCUGGGCUUUUUUUUUUUUUUUUUAAUGAUGCAAGGAACUUUGUGAAAAUUAUCUUAAUGUAAAAUUACUUUUCUCUUUGCUCUUGGGAAUCUAUUUAAAUCUUUGAGAAGUAACUAAAAAUAGAAUUUGUUUCUUGUCUCUACUAUUCUGCUGCAAGCUGUUGGUGGCCAAGAACGUUCUAUAUCUUACAUCUUGCCACGGAGCUAAGUACUUUCCAGUGACUGCUGACUCAGUUUGAACCCAAGAAGACAUUCCUUUCUCAUCCUUGACAGAUGACUGAGGAAGGAAAAAGCUGUCUGUCUGCAAAGAAUAACACAUCAACAAUAAAUAAAGGCAAACCUAGGUGGAAGGUGAAAUAAGAUGAAUUAUCCUGCAUUGGUGUUCAUGACUUGGUAGAAGGCUAUGAGGAGAAGGCAACUAGGGAGUAAACGUAAAGAGCUAGAAUCUGAAGGAGGUAUUGGGAGCCUUACUAGUAGCAGAGGGUUUUCAAAUUCAACCUGUGAGAAAGAUAUUCCAAGUCCUGUUUAAAGUGCUGUGGAAGAAGGUUGCAUGUUUAAUCUCUAAAAUAGAGAUUAUUUUAGAGUCAGACUUUAAUGACUUUUAAUGAAAAAGUUGUUACGUUUAGACAGGGCUUUUUACUUUUAAAAAGUAUGCAAAGCUAAUGUCUCAUUGAGUGUCUUCACAACUGCCAUAUAAUACAGAUUAAUGAAUAGCCCCACUUCACAGAUAAGGGAAUACAGGCACAGAGAAGACCAGGGAGUUGCCCAAAAUUUGGCAGAAUAAUAGGAACAAAAAUAGGAACAAUAGCUAAUGUUGUGCACUGUCAGCACGCUAAACACCUAAUUUAACUCUUCACCCUUCCCUUGCUAUUAGCCCUAUUUGGGGGAUAAUGAAACUGAAGUUUAAAGAGACAAAGUAAUUUACUUGAGACCAUACAUUGCCAAAGCCUGGGUUCCAAUGUAGAUUAUUAUUACUUCAAAACGGAGCAUCUUAAUCUCUAGCCAAUGCACAUCAAGGUGCGGUUCCCAGAUCAGCCUCAUCAGCAUCACUUAGGAUUUGCUAGAAAUGCAAAUCCUCAGGUCCUGCCUUAGUCCCACUGAACUAGAAACCCUGGGAGUGGGUCCCAAGCCCUCCAGGUGAUUUCAAUGUAUGUUAAAGUUUGAGGACCACUUUGCUAUGCUAUUCUGCCUUGAGUCUGGGCAGUACCUGCUUUGUAAUUUUUCAUUAGUCAAAUCUAAGUCUUUGAAAAGAAACUCUGUAACAUGCCCUAUUUGACAAAGAGGACUAGUAAUGUAUAAUAUUUGAGCCCUUACCUAGCACAUAAUGAGUAGGCACAAUAAAUUUUAGCUACUACUCUUAUGUGCCACAUAUUGCUCCCAACUACUUUACCUGUACUAUAUCUCCUUUAAUCCUUUCGAAACUAAAUAAGGUAGGCACUGUUAUUAUUCUCUUUCUACAAAUGAAGAAGGAGGCAAAGAGAGAGUAUGUUGCUCAAGUUCAGAUAGCUAACAAAUGUCAGAGCCUUAGUUUGAAUAUAGACAGUCUAGUCCUUGAGCCUAUGUUCUUAACCACUUGCUUGUGCAUCACAGGGUGGAGAAGAAUUAGAUUCAGCUCUUCAGCUCAGAUUAAAUCCAAUUGUGGGCCUUCAGGUUCCCAUUCAGUUUUGCAGACUCACAGUAUUUGCUGCAAAUCUCUUCCCUCCACUCUCACCCUAUUGAUCUUGCUAGAAGGCCCUUUAGUUCCUUAGCUCUAACGAGAUGUCCCUCCCAGCUUUUUAGAUUAAAUGUGAGAGCGCAAAUCACGUGUUCUAAAGUCAAUCCCAUCUGUUGCCUCUGGAGGCCCAGGAAAAUGCUGCUCAAUAAUGACAAUAAAUUCUUACAGGGAAAGGGACAGCGAUUGGCCCACGGGCAGAACUUGCGUGUCAAUUCAGAAUGGGAGACAUAAAGAAUGAGAAACACCCAUAAAGAGGAAUUCACAAAUAAGAUGGAGGCAAUGGAUCCUAAAAUGGAACUCCCAACUCUCAGGGAUUCUAAUAACCACACAUCAUAAGAGUCAGGCCCAUAUGACUGCUGAGGCAAAUGGGAAAAGGAGAAGAAACAGGACGGGGUCUCUAUAAAACAAUUUAAAGCAAGCAAGUCAAAGACAGCAAGAAUUAUCUAAACCAUGAAACCUGAGAAAGAAUGAAGGAUAGAGGGCCACAACCCCAAGGGUGCCACUGCACUGUGUCCCCCGACCCCGGCCAUGAACGAGGAAGCUGUGAUAUAAUGCUCACUCAUCACUUCCAUUUGGGUAAAAUAGCACUGUUACAUCAGUCGGGGGGUCCUGCAAGAAAACAGAAGGCACGCUCAAAUGGGGUAAUGAGGAGAGUUCAACAGAGGGACCCUUCAUCCGAGAAGUGGGCAGCCUUCCUAGCUCCACUGGGAUUUCCCUGGCCCAGUCCCCCAGAGCAGCUUUGCAGAGCCUCAGCACUGGAGGCCAUAUAAAGUGAGCUAGGCAGUGUGACAAGCACAGGAUUGGGGAUAGAGCAGUAGAUUCUAGACCCACUCAAAAGCUGCAUGACUUUGGGCAAGUCUCAAGGACCAGUUGUCUCUUCCACCCACGUCUUCUUAACAAGAAGAAUCAGCUCCUCUAAUUGUUGCUGUUUCCAUUAGCCAUCUGUUAUGGUUGAACUGUCUUCCCAAAAAAGAUAUGUUCAGGUCCUACCCCCUGGUCCCUGGGAACAUGACCUGGAUUAGGGUGGACUGUAAAUCCAAUGACUGGUGUCUUUCUAAAGAAGGUCAUGGGAAGACAGAGACACAGACCCGCACAGAGAGGAGAACACCAUGGGAUAAUGGAGGCAAGGAAUAUUGGUGCCAUACAGCCACGAGCCAAGGAACACCAAGGAUUGCUGGCCACCACCAGAAGCUGGAAUAGGCCAGAAAGGAUUCUUUCCUAGCGUUGUCACAAGGAAUAUAGUCUUGUCAACACCUUGAUUUCAGACUUCUAGCCUCCAGAACCGUGAGAGAAUAAAUUUCUUUGUUUCAAGCCA